UACGAGGGGGCGAGCGUUGUUCGGAAUUAUUGGGCGUAAAGCGCGCGUAGGCAGGUUGGUAAGUCCGCUGUGAAAGCCCGGAGCUUAACUCCGGAGGGUCGGUGGAUACUGCCAGUCUUGAAGGUGCUAGGGGGAGAUGGAAUUACCGGUGUAGCGGUGAAAUGCGUAGAUAUCGGAAGGAACAUCAGUGGCGAAAGCGACUUCCUGGACCAAUACUGACGCUCAUGUGCGAAAGCGUGGGGAGCAAACAGG
rnacentral:rRNA from 1 species